rnacentral:piRNA from 1 species
UACCAGACUGUCAGACGUUGGCCAUUUGGU